rnacentral:rRNA from 1 species
GAUUUCUGGUACGGCGCACUUGGCCCGCCUCGGUUACGGGGUUGUGUGCCGGUGUGCGCCUGCCAUCCUUCUGGGGAACUAUCACAACUCCCCUUCACUGGGGAUUGCGGUAGGGAACCAGAUCAUUUACUUUGAAAAAAUUAGAGUGUUUAAAGCAGGCUUGUGCUAUGAAUACAUUAGCAUGGAAUAAUAAUUUAGGACUUUGGUCUUAUUUUGUUGGUUUCUAGGACUAAAGUAAUGAUUGAUAGGGAUAGUUGGGGGUGCUAGUAUUCAGCGGCCAGAGGUGAAAUUCUUGGAUUCGCUGAAGACUAACUUAUGCGAAAGCAUU